rnacentral:rRNA from 1 species
GUAGGGAAUAUUGGGCAAUGGACGCAAGUCUGAUCCAGCCAUGCCGCGUGAAGGAUUAAGGUCCUCUGGAUUGUAAACUUCUUUUAUAAGGGACGAAAAAAGGCUUUUCUAAGUCGUCUGACGGUACCUUAUGAAUAAGCACCGGCUAACUCCGUGCCAGCAGCCGCGGUAAUACGGAGGGUGCAAGCGUUAUCCGGAUUCACUGGGUUUAAAGGGUGCGUAGGCGGGCAGGUAAGUCAGUGGUGAAAUCCUAGAGCUUAACUCUAGAACUGCCAUUGAUACUAUCUGUCUUGAAUAUUGUGGAGGUAAGCGGAAUAUGUCAUGUAGCGGUGAAAUGCUUAGAUAUGACAUAGAACACCUAUUGCGAAGGCAGCUUACUACGCAUAUAUUGACGCUGAGGCACGAAAGCGUGGGGAUCAAACAGGAUUAGAAACCCGGGUAGUCC